GCUUACAGCCAUACCACACUGUCUGAGUCCAAUCUUGUCUGAUCUCGGAAGCUAAGCAGGCUUGGUCCUGGUUAGUACUUGUAUGGGAGACUGCCUGGGAAUACCAGGUGCUGUAAGCU
rnacentral:rRNA from 1 species